rnacentral:lncRNA from 1 species
GCUUGUUAUCUCUUAUUUUCAGAAAUCAUACAAGAUAUCGACAAAAUACUUUCAGACAAUUGUUAGUUGCGACAAGUCGUAACACAUAUAUUUUACUUAAAAGGGUACGUAACAUUUAUGCGAGUUUCCUCCCCUUUUAUAUCUAAUAUUAGUUGUAUGGUAAUAUAACUCAUUAACAAUAUGAAGUAGAGGCCUAGAGUCUUUUGAUUUGAGGUCCUUGGUUGAUGACCUUGGAAUUGAGCUCAAGGUCAUAGGUAAAUUCAACGUUCUAGAUUUUGACCUUUGCGCCUUCCUCUUAUGUAUACAUGAUAAAGCCAUGGGACUUUUUGCAAAAGCUUGCAAGCAAAGUGACCUUGAAAAAUUCAACCGGAAGUGACCUUUUGUAAACCGGAAGUAGCCCUUUUUUGUACUAAUUUAAUGUAAAAGUAUACAGAACCAUCUAUUUUUGGAAUCAGAGUCAACUAAACUAUCAAAACAUACCGGAAGUAACAUCUUUUAAACCGGAAGUAAAAAAUGAUCUCCCU